ensembl:antisense_RNA K12G11.14 ncRNA
UUUGAGAGCACUAACACCCAUCAAAUCGAUAAAUGUAAAUCCGGAGCAAUCAAUUACAAAAUGACGAGGAAGUAUUGGGUCACGGUUGAUGCCUGGAUGAAGUGGCUGGAAUAGUUGUCGUAAUUGGAGCAAUCCUAUGCAUUCCUUCAAAUGUAAACUUGCUUCCCUUGCCUGCGUUUGGCUCCUUCACAAAAUUAAAUUCAGAAGACUUUUUCCAUUCAUCGUACACUUUUUCGAUACA